AAUGAGUGCAAGCAGUUUAUUUGGGCCACUCCAGAGGUGUUAAAGCUCCAGCACUUCCAGCCUGCCUUGUGGGAAAGUCUUAGGCUGAGUCUGUAGGUGCCUGCAGUUAAGAAGCCAGCGGUCUGCAUAUGAUUGCUCAGGGGUGGUGGCUGGGUACCAACAGCAUUCACUACAGGCCUGCCUUGAAUACCACCUAACGCAGUGCUCCGCAUAUCACAGGGGCUGGAAACCUAACAAUUUCACGUCCUAGACAACUUGCUAAAAGUCACCUAAAGACAGUCUGGUUACUGCCAAAGAUAUGCUUUCAAAUAAGAUUUGGAUAAAGAAGGGAGGUAGAUGCCUUUUUUCAGCAGUGGAGUGAUGUCUAGACCAGUAGAUGUACGCAUCUAAGUGAAUUCAUCACCAGCAACAAUUUCCAGAAACUUCCUGACCUCCAGAUUGCAGCUUCA
rnacentral:antisense_RNA from 1 species